AUACCCAGGAGGAACAUGUCCUUCCAGCCGCCCAGCACAGCGUGUACCUCCUAGCAUCUCAGCACUGCGAGGCUGUGGUGUCCAGUCUCCUGGGGAGCCCCCUGCCCUUUGACAGUCACACCUGCGCCCUGUGGCGGGCACUGGCUGUGGAGCCCAGCCUCACUGCUCAGGUCUUAGAGCUGCUCCUGGAGAAGAUGAGCAAAGAUGUCCCAUUCAAGGAGAGCCGGGCCUUCCUUCUGGGCAGUACUGCUGACAGAGUAGCUACACUGCUUCCCCUUGCGGUGAGUAGGGACUCCGGGGCUACCUUACAAGCUGCCCCUGCCCCCACAUGAGGCCUGGGUACCCCAAAGGCACCUGGCAGCUGUGCUGGGGCUCAUAAAGACCAGCAGGUGUUAGCUCCCAAGGGAGUACACUUCACAUUUUAUCCUGUGGAAAAAAAAUAAACCCAGUCCAGCCACACUUUAAGCAAG
rnacentral:lncRNA from 1 species